GUCGAGCGGAAACGAUCCUAGCUUGCUAGGAGGCGUCGAGCGGCGGACGGGUGAGUAAUGCAUAGGAAUCUGCCCGGUAGUGGGGGAUAACCUGGGGAAACCCAGGCUAAUACCGCAUACGUCCUACGGGAGAAAGCAGGGGAUCUUCGGACCUUGCGCUAUCGGAUGAGCCUAUGUCGGAUUAGCUAGUUGGUGAGGUAAUGGCUCACCAAGGCUGCGAUCCGUAGCUGGUCUGAGAGGAUGAUCAGCCACAUCGGGACUGAGACACGGCCCGAACUCCUACGGGAGGCAGCAGUGGGGAAUAUUGGACAAUGGGCGAAAGCCUGAUCCAGCCAUGCCGCGUGUGUGAAGAAGGCCUUCGGGUUGUAAAGCACUUUCAGUGAGGAAGAAGGCCUUGAGGUUAAUACCCUCGAGGAAGGACAUCACUCACAGAAGAAGCACCGGCUAACUCCGUGCCAGCAGCCGCGGUAAUACGGAGGGUGCGAGCGUUAAUCGGAAUUACUGGGCGUAAAGCGCGCGUAGGCGGCUUGAUAAGCCGGUUGUGAAAGCCCCGGGCUCAACCUGGGAACGGCAUCCGGAACUGUCAGGCUAGAGUGCAGGAGAGGAAGGUAGAAUUCCCGGUGUAGCGGUGAAAUGCGUAGAGAUCGGGAGGAAUACCAGUGGCGAAGGCGGCCUUCUGGACUGACACUGACGCUGAGGUGCGAAAGCGUGGGUAGCAAACAGGAUUAGAUACCCUGGUAGUCCACGCCGUAAACGAUGUCGACUAGCCGUUGGGCUCCUUGAGAGCUUUGUGGCGCAGUUAACGCGAUAAGUCGACCGCCUGGGGAGUACGGCCGCAAGGUUAAAACUCAAAUGAAUUGACGGGGGCCCGCACAAGCGGUGGAGCAUGUGGUUUAAUUCGAUGCAACGCGAAGAACCUUA
rnacentral:rRNA from 1 species